rnacentral:tRNA from 1 species
GCCUGGGUGGCUCAGUCGGUUAAGCGUCCGACUUCAGCUCAGGUCAUGAUCUCGCGGUCUGUGGGUUCGAGCCCCGCGUCAGGCU